rnacentral:snoRNA from 1 species
AAGAAAAUAACUUAGAAAGUUUGAGCUUGCUAUAGCAAGAAAAUUUAACCCAUUCAGUAUUCUCUUCCCCAUGAGACAACCCGUUAUAUAGGCUCAAACAAU